rnacentral:rRNA from 1 species
UACGUAGGGUGCGAGCGUUAAUCGGAAUUACUGGGCGUAAAGCGUGCGCAGGCGGUUUGUUAAGCCAGAUGUGAAAGCCCCGGGCUCAACCUGGGAACUGCGUUUGGUACUGGCAAGCUAGAGUACGGCAGAGGGGGGUGGAAUUCCACGUGUAGCAGUGAAAUGCGUAGAGAUGUGGAGGAACACCGAUGGCGAAGGCAGCCCCCUGGGCCUGCACUGACGCUCAUGCACGAAAGCGUGGGGAGCAAACAGG